rnacentral:rRNA from 1 species
AAAUGAAUUGACGGGGGCCCGCACAAGCAGUGGAUUAUGUGGUUUAAUUCGAAGCAACGCGAAGAACCUUACCAGGUCUUGACAUCGUGCGCAUACUACAGAGAUGUGGGAAGCCCUUCGGGGCGCACAGACAGGUGGUGCAUGGUUGUCGUCAGCUCGUGUCGUGAGAUGUUGGGUUAAGUCCCGCAACGAGCGCAACCCUUACGAAUAGUUGCUACGCAAGAGCACUCUAUUAGGACUGCCGUUGACAAAACGGAGGAAGGUGGGGAUGACGUCAAAUCAUCAUGCCCCUUAUGACCUGGGCUACACACGUAAUACAAUGGCGGUCAACAGAGGGAAGCAACGCCGCGAGGCCGAGCGAAUCCUCAAAAGCCGUCUCAGUUCGGAUUGCAGGCUGCAACUCGCCUGCAUGAAGUCGGAAUUGCUAGUAAUCGCGGAUCAGCACGCCGCGGUGAAUACGUUCCCGGGCCUUGUACACACCGCCCGU